CACGAAUUGAAUCCUAACACUUAUCCUAACACUUGCAAGGCAGAGGCAGCUGGAUCUUUAUGACUUUGUUCUACGUAGUCAAUUCCAGGCAAGACAGGUAUACAGUGUGAGACCCUGUCUCAAAACAAACAAACAAACAAACAAACAAACAAACAAACAAACCACCUGUGUUUACGGGGGUUUGGGACAGGGAGGUCUGAUGCUAAGGUCCUUUCCCCCAAUUGGUUCUCGAUCUGUCAGUAAAGAAGCUAUGGACCAAUUGCUCGGUGGAAGGGAUAGGCGGGACUUCCUGUUCCCGAGAGGCAAGCCAACAGAUUCAAGGGAGGAAAGGAGCUGAGGCAGGAGCUCCAGGCGGGAACCCGGAAGUGAAGUGGAAACCAAGAUGGAAUGCUGCUUACUGGAUUGUUACCAGGCAAUCCCUGUGAAAGGUUGACCCCCAAAGGCAUCGAAGCCCAUGGAUUGAGAACCUCUGAUAUAAACAGAUAGAGCCUAACUCCUAAUGCCAUUGUGCCUCAUGCCAAAGAAACAAUUUCUGAGAGGACAGUGGCACCAUAUAUUUAUUACUUCAAGUGAGUGAACAGUCAGCUUAAAAUGUCACUUCAAUUCAACCCAACUCAAGUGGUGCAAGACAAGGCCAGUGACACUGUCACCUUCUGUAAAAGGCCCCAUCCCCUUCUCAUGGGCACAGCUUUCUUCUUUCCUUAAAAAUUUGCCAAGGGUGUCUCUGGCCACGAUGUCUUUUUUCUCCCAGCAGCAUCUACUUUUAUUAAAAUGUAUUUAUCAC
ensembl:lncRNA